CAGCCGCCGCGGUAAUACGUAGGGGGCGAGCGUUGUCCGGAAUUAUUGGGCGUAAAGCGCGCGCAGGCGGUCCUUUAAGUCUGAUGUGAAAGCCCACGGCUCAACCGUGGAGGGUCAUUGGAAACUGGGGGACUUGAGUGCAGGAGAGGAGAGCGGAAUUCCACGUGUAGCGGUGAAAUGCGUAGAGAUGUGGAGGAACACCAGUGGCGAAGGCGGCUCUCUGGCCUGUAACUGACGCUGAGGCGCGAAAGCGUGGGGAGCAAACAGGAUUAGAUACCCUGGUAGUCCACGCCGUAAACGAUGAGUGCUAAGUGUUAGAGGGGUCACACCCUUUAGUGCUGCAGCUAACGCGAUAAGCACUCCGCCUGGGGAGUACGGCCGCAAGGUUGAAACUUAAAGGAAUUGGCGGG
rnacentral:rRNA from 1 species